rnacentral:rRNA from 1 species
UAGGGAAUAUUGGACAAUGGGUGAGAGCCUGAUCCAGCCAUGCCGCGUGCAGGAAGAAGGCGUUAUGCGUUGUAAACUGCUUUUUGCCAGGGGAUAAAAAGACCGUGCGCGGUUAAUUGAAGGUACCUGGUGAAUAAGCCACGGCUAACUACGUGCCAGCAGCCGCGGUAAUACGUAGGUGGCAAGCGUUGUCCGGAUUUAUUGGGUUUAAAGGGUGCGUAGGUGGCCCUGUAAGUCAGUGGUGAAAUAUCUCAGCUUAACUGAGAGGGUGCCAUUGAUACUGCAGGGCUUGAGUACAGAUGAGGUAGGCGGAAUUGACGGUGUAGCGGUGAAAUGCAUAGAUAUCGUCAAGAACACCGAUAGCGAAGGCAGCUUACCAAGCUGUAACUGACACUGAGAGACGGAAGCUAGGGGAGCAAAUGGGAUUAGAUACCCUAGUAGUCCCUGAGCGGGCUGGCAAGGCG